rnacentral:antisense_RNA from 1 species
UUCCGCUCCUCAAGACCGCACCCCCCCCGGUUCCUUCUCACUACCGAAACUCACCGAAGGAAAUAGACGCCAGUGCUCCUCCCGGGGCUGCCACCACGGCUCCGGCAGGCGGGCCGGGGACCGGCCGAACCUGAGUUGACGGUGGAGGGGCUCGGGUUAGCUAGAUGGGCGGUUGGUUAGAUGCCGGCCGCCAGCUCCUGCUCGGUGUCCAAAACAAAAUGGCCGCCACGUCCAGUGCUUGUCUGACCGGCUAAAAUGGCGUCUACGCAAUUACGUCAGGCGUCAGAUCCGCGCACGACUAGAGGGCGGGAAAGAUUUGAGCUACGCCUGCGCAGAGAUAGAGUCUCGCUGUGUCACCCAGACUGGAGUGCAGUGGUACCAUCUCGGCUCACUGCAACCUCCGCCUCCCAGGUUCAAGCGAUUCUCCUGCCUCAGCCUCCUGAGUAGCUGGAAUUACAGCUGAGAAGCUGAUGUUUCCUCGACUUCCAACUGGAACCUUGAACCCCCACAUUUCUGGACCUUGAGCAUUCCUCAAGUAGGAAGAUGUAAUGCACCUUGACCUCUUUCUAAAUAAGACACUUCCCCAAAUAAGGGGAGUUGAGAGUGAACAGUCUUCACGUCUCCACCCACUUCCAGAUCCCAGAGGAGACAGACAUCGGAUGGCUGAAGAAAUUGUUACAGGCCACUGUGAGAGCAGCCACAAGCACCACAUACUCCUGGAAGUCCACCUCCCCGUCUCCAUUCUCGUCUAGCUCCUUCAUCACCUUGUCCACAGCAUCCACAUCCUUCUGGGCCUGUGGUGGGAGGAGAGGAAGAGGGAGGUGUAUAGGG